rnacentral:rRNA from 1 species
CCCUUAGAUGUUCUGGGCCGCACGCGCGCUACACUGAUGCAUUCAACGAGUCUAAAACCUGGUCUGAUAGGGCUGGGUAAUCUUUUGAAUGCGCAUCGUGAUUGGGAUAGAUGAUUGCAAUUCUUCAUCUUCAACGAGGAAUGCCUAGUAAACGCAAGUCAUCAGCUUGCAUUGAUUACGUCCCUGCCCUUUGUACACACCGCCCGUCGCUCCUACCGAUUGAAUGUUCCGAUGAAUACCAUGGACUGAGAGUAUGAAUGGGUUCGCCUAUUUCUGCUUCUCGGGAAGUGGAGUAAAUCUUAACAUUUAGAGGAAGGAGAAGUCGUAACA